CAGCAGCCGCGGGAAAACGGAGGGGGCUAGCGUUGUUCGGAAUUACUGGGCGUAAAGCGCACGUAGGCGGCUUGGUAAGUUAGAGGUGAAAGCCUGGAGCUCAACUCCAGAAUUGCCUUUAAGACUGCCGAGCUAGCAGGUGAGAGAGGUAAGUGGAAUUCCGAGUGUAGAGGUGAAAUUCGUUGAUAUUCGGAAGAACACCAGUGGCGAAGGCGGCUUACUGGCUCAUACUGGACGCUGAGGUGCGAAAGCGUGGGGAGCAAACAGGAUUAGAUACCCCGGUAGUCCCUGUCUCUUAUAC
rnacentral:rRNA from 1 species